UACGAAGGGGGCUAGCGUUGCUCGGAAUCACUGGGCGUAAAGCGCACGUAGGCGGAUUGUUAAGUCAGGGGUGAAAUCCUGGAGCUCAACUCCAGAACUGCAUUCGAUACUGCUGCGCUAGAGUACUGGAGAGGAGAUUGGAAUUUCCGGUGUAGCGGUGAAAUGCGUAGAUAUCGGAAGGAACAUCAGUGGCGAAGGCGACUUCCUGGACCAAUACUGACGCUCAGGUGCGAAAGCGUGGGGAGCAAACAGG
rnacentral:rRNA from 1 species